AUGAGUGUCUUCUGCUGGAACUGUCGUGGCGCGGGCAAACAUGCGGCAGUUCGCGAACUGCGUGAUUUCGCGUUGAAGUUUGCCCCUACCGUACUAUGUAUUGUUGAGACACAAAUUAGUGGAGUACGUGUAGAAGCUUUUGCUAGCACUCUAGGGUAUGAUAACUCAUAUGCAAUAAACAGUCAGGGUAGAAGCGGUGGAAUUGGCAUGUUUUGGAAUAAUACAAUCGAUGUUGAGAUUUUGGGCGACUCUGUUUACCACAUUGAUGCGAAAAUACAGGAGGUGGGACAGGACCCAUGGCGAUUGACAUGCUUUUAUGGGGAGGCCCAAACUAGUCUGAGGCACCAAACUUGGGAUCUAAUGAAAAACUUGGCAGCUUUAAAUGACUUGCCUUGGGUCUGUGUGGGGGAUUUCAACGAGGUGCUACGUCAGGAAGAACACCAGGGCGUAGCUAAAAGAAGUAAUGCACAAAUCCAUGUUGGAAAUGUUGCAGAAAAUAAAAAAAUUCUACGCUUCACCAAGAUCAAUCUAUGGAGUUCAUCUAGCAACGAGAGAGAGGAGUGCAUCUACAUACCCUUGUAG
rnacentral:rRNA from 1 species